rnacentral:rRNA from 1 species
GACGAACGCUGGCGGCGUGCUUAACACAUGCAAGUCGAACGGAAAGGCCCUGCUUUUGUGUGUUGCUCGAGUUGCGAACGGGUGAGUAACACGUGUGUAACCUGCCCUUGACUUUGGUAUAUCUUCAGGAAACUUGGGCUAAUACCGGAUAUGAGCUCCUGCUGCAUGUUGUGGGUUGGAUAGUUUCGGCGGUUGGGGAUGGACUCGCGGCUUAUCAGCUUGUUUGUGGGGUAGUGGCUUACCAAGGCUUUGACGGGUAGCCGGCCUGAGAGGGUGACCGGCAACAAUGGGACGGAGAUACGGCCCAGAAUACUACGGGAGGCAGCAGUGGGGAAUAGUGCACAAUGGGAGGAAGCAUGAUGCAGCAACGCCGCGUGCGGGAUGACGGCCUUCGGGUUGUAAACAGAUUUCGACUGUGACGAAGAGUGAGUGACGGUAAUGGGUAAAGAAGCACCGGCUAACUACGUG